rnacentral:rRNA from 1 species
UACGUAGGGAGCAAGCGUUGUCCGGAAUCAUUGGGCGUAAAGAGCGCGUAGGCGGCCCUGUAAGUCCGUUCUGAAAGUCGGAGGCUCAACCUCCGAAAGCGGAUGGAUACUGCGGGGCUAGAGUCCGGAAGAGGCGAGUGGAAUUCCUGGUGUAGCGGGUGGAAUGCGCAGAUAUCAGGAGGAACACCACGGCGAAGGCAGCUCGCUGGGACGGUACUGACGCUGAGGCGCGAAAGCUAGGGGAGCAAACGGG